CACGAAAAAAAAAAAAAAAAAAAAAAAAAAAAAAAAAAAAAAAAAAAAAAAAAGGAUUUCUCCACGAAAAAAAAAAAAAAAAAAAAAAAAAAAAAAAAAAAAAAAAAAAAAAAAAAAAAAAAAAAAAAAAAAAAAAAAAAAAGGAUUUCUCCACGAAAAAAAAAAAAAAAAAAAAAAAAAAAAAAAAAAAAAAAAAAAAAAAAAAAAAAAAAAGGU
rnacentral:misc_RNA from 1 species